UUGGAGCAACAAGUGAAGUCCGGGAAGGGCUGGAAUUUCGCGGGCGCGCGCCGUGCCAACUGUGCACCCAGUGGGCGAACCCUGUACGACGCUGGAUCCAGCCAAGGGACGCCCCUCCCUGCCAGGGACCCUAGGAAUUCGGCCCUGGGAGAUGAGAAAACCGAGACCCAGAGACAGUCAUCCAGGGACAGUGCAGGGGCCAACUCUUGGAUCUCUGACUCCUGGAUCAACCCCUUCCUGAAGGUGCUCACUUGGAUUUUCACCA